rnacentral:rRNA from 1 species
UACGGGGGGGGGCAAGCGUUGCUCGGAAUCACUGGGCGUAAAGCGCACGUAGGCGGAUUGCUAAGUCAGGGGUGAAAUCCUGGAGCUCAACUCCAGAACUGCCUUUGAUACUGGCGACCUUGAGUCCGGGAGAGGUGAGUGGAACUGCGAGUGUAGAGGUGAAAUUCGUAGAUAUUCGCAAGAACACCAGUGGCGAAGGCGGCUCACUGGCCCGGUACUGACGCUGAGGUGCGAAAGCGUGGGGAGCAAACAGG